UUAAGCGACUAAGCGUACACGGUGGAUGCCCUGGCAGUCAGAGGCGAUGAAGGACGUGCUAAUCUGCGAUAAGCGUCGGUAAGGUGAUAUGAACCGUUAUAACCGGCGAUUUCCGAAUGGGGAAACCCAGUGUGAUUCGUCACACUAUCAUUAACUGAAUCCAUAGGUUAAUGAGGCGAACCGGGGGAACUGAAACAUCUAAGUACCCCGAGGAAAAGAAAUCAACCGAGAUUCCCCCAGUAGCGGCGAGCGAACGGGGAGCAGCCCAGAGCCUGAAUCAGCAUGUGUGUUAGUGGAAGCGUCUGGAAAGGCGCGCGAUACAGGGUGACAGCCCCGUACACAAAAAUGCACAUACUGUGAGCUCGAUGAGUAGGGCGGGACACGUGGUAUCCUGUCUGAAUAUGGGGGGACCAUCCUCCAAGGCUAAAUACUCCUGACUGACCGAUAGUGAACCAGUACCGUGAGGGAAAGGCGAAAAGAACCCCGGCGAGGGGAGUGAAAAAGAACCUGAAACCGUGUACGUACAAGCAGUGGGAGCACGCUUAGGCGUGUGACUGCGUACCUUUUGUAUAAUGGGUCAGCGACUUAUAUUCUGUAGCAAGGUUAACCGAAUAGGGGAGCCGAAGGGAAACCGAGUCUUAACUGGGCGUUAAGUUGCAGGGUAUAGACCCGAAACCCGGUGAUCUAGCCAUGGGCAGGUUGAAGGUUGGGUAACACUAACUGGAGGACCGAACCGACUAAUGUUGAAAAAUUAGCGGAUGACUUGUGGCUGGGGGUGAAAGGCCAAUCAAACCGGGAGAUAGCUGGUUCUCCCCGAAAGCUAUUUAGGUAGCGCCUCGUGAAUUCAUCUCCGGGGGUAGAGCACUGUUUCGGCAAGGGGGUCAUCCCGACUUACCAACCCGAUGCAAACUGCGAAUACCGGAGAAUGUUAUCACGGGAGACACACGGCGGGUGCUAACGUCCGUCGUGAAGAGGGAAACAACCCAGACCGCCAGCUAAGGUCCCAAAGUCAUGGUUAAGUGGGAAACGAUGUGGGAAGGCCCAGACAGCCAGGAUGUUGGCUUAGAAGCAGCCAUCAUUUAAAGAAAGCGUAAUAGCUCACUGGUCGAGUCGGCCUGCGCGGAAGAUGUAACGGGGCUAAACCAUGCACCGAAGCUGCGGCAGCGACACUAUGUGUUGUUGGGUAGGGGAGCGUUCUGUAAGCCUGUGAAGGUGUACUGUGAGGUAUGCUGGAGGUAUCAGAAGUGCGAAUGCUGACAUAAGUAACGAUAAAGCGGGUGAAAAGCCCGCUCGCCGGAAGACCAAGGGUUCCUGUCCAACGUUAAUCGGGGCAGGGUGAGUCGACCCCUAAGGCGAGGCCGAAAGGCGUAGUCGAUGGGAAACAGGUUAAUAUUCCUGUACUUGGUGUUACUGCGAAGGGGGGACGGAGAAGGCUAUGUUGGCCGGGCGACGGUUGUCCCGGUUUAAGCGUGUAGGCUGGUUUUCCAGGCAAAUCCGGAAAAUCAAGGCUGAGGCGUGAUGACGAGGCACUACGGUGCUGAAGCAACAAAUGCCCUGCUUCCAGGAAAAGCCUCUAAGCAUCAGGUAACAUCAAAUCGUACCCCAAACCGACACAGGUGGUCAGGUAGAGAAUACCAAGGCGCUUGAGAGAACUCGGGUGAAGGAACUAGGCAAAAUGGUGCCGUAACUUCGGGAGAAGGCACGCUGAUAUGUAGGUGAAGUCCCUUGCGGAUGGAGCUGAAAUCAGUCGAAGAUACCAGCUGGCUGCAACUGUUUAUUAAAAACACAGCACUGUGCAAACACGAAAGUGGACGUAUACGGUGUGACGCCUGCCCGGUGCCGGAAGGUUAAUUGAUGGGGUCAGCGCAAGCGAAGCUCUUGAUCGAAGCCCCGGUAAACGGCGGCCGUAACUAUAACGGUCCUAAGGUAGCGAAAUUCCUUGUCGGGUAAGUUCCGACCUGCACGAAUGGCGUAAUGAUGGCCAGGCUGUCUCCACCCGAGACUCAGUGAAAUUGAACUCGCUGUGAAGAUGCAGUGUACCCGCGGCAAGACGGAAAGACCCCGUGAACCUUUACUAUAGCUUGACACUGAACAUUGAGCCUUGAUGUGUAGGAUAGGUGGGAGGCUUUGAAGUGUGGACGCCAGUCUGCAUGGAGCCGACCUUGAAAUACCACCCUUUAAUGUUUGAUGUUCUAACGUUGACCCGUAAUCCGGGUUGCGGACAGUGUCUGGUGGGUAGUUUGACUGGGGCGGUCUCCUCCUAAAGAGUAACGGAGGAGCACGAAGGUUGGCUAAUCCUGGUCGGACAUCAGGAGGUUAGUGCAAUGGCAUAAGCCAGCUUGACUGCGAGCGUGACGGCGCGAGCAGGUGCGAAAGCAGGUCAUAGUGAUCCGGUGGUUCUGAAUGGAAGGGCCAUCGCUCAACGGAUAAAAGGUACUCCGGGGAUAACAGGCUGAUACCGCCCAAGAGUUCAUAUCGACGGCGGUGUUUGGCACCUCGAUGUCGGCUCAUCACAUCCUGGGGCUGAAGUAGGUCCCAAGGGUAUGGCUGUUCGCCAUUUAAAGUGGUACGCGAGCUGGGUUUAGAACGUCGUGAGACAGUUCGGUCCCUAUCUGCCGUGGGCGCUGGAGAACUGAGGGGGGCUGCUCCUAGUACGAGAGGACCGGAGUGGACGCAUCACUGGUGUUCGGGUUGUCAUGCCAAUGGCACUGCCCGGUAGCUAAAUGCGGAAGAGAUAAGUGCUGAAAGCAUCUAAGCACGAAACUUGCCCCGAGAUGAGUUCUCCCUGACUCCUUGAGAGUCCUGAAGGAACGUUGAAGACGACGACGUUGAUAGGCCGGGUGUGUAAGCGCAGCGAUGCGUUGAGCUAACCGGUACUAAUGAACCGUGAGGCUUAACCUU
rnacentral:rRNA from 1 species